rnacentral:rRNA from 1 species
GACGAACGCUGGCGGCGUGCUUAACACAUGCAAGUCGAACGGUAAGGCCCUUUCGGGGGUACACGAGUGGCGAACGGGUGAGUAACACGUGGGUAAUCUGCCCUGCACUUCGGGAUAAGCCUGGGAAACUGGGUCUAAUACCGGAUAUGAGCUUCUGCCGCAUGGUGGGGGUUGGAAAGUUUUUCGGUGCAGGAUGAGCCCGCGGCCUAUCAGCUGGUUGGUGGGGUAAUGGCCUACCAAGGCGACGACGGGUAGCCGGCCUGAGAGGGUGAUCGGCCCCACUGGGACUGAGACACGGCCCAGACUCCUACGGGAGGCAGCAGUGGGGAAUGUUGCACAAUGGGCGGAAGCCUGAUGCAGCGACGCCGCGUGGGGGAUGACGGUCUUCGGAUUGUAAACCCCUUUCAGUAGGGACGAAGCGCAAGUGACGGUACCUGCAGAAGAAGCACCGGCCAACUACGUGCCAGCAGCCGCCGUAA